rnacentral:rRNA from 1 species
UGGGGGAUAUUGCGCAAUGGGGGCAACCCUGACGCAGCAACGCCGCGUGAAGGAUGAAGGUUUUCGGAUUGUAAACUUCUUUUAUUAAGGACGAAAAUUGACGGUACUUAAUGAAUAAGCUCCGGCUAACUACGUGCCAGCAGCCGCGGUAAUACGUAGGGAGCAAGCGUUGUCCGGAUUUACUGGGUGUAAAGGGUGCGUAGGCGGCUUUGCAAGUCAGAUGUGAAAUCUAUGGGCUCAACCCAUAAACUGCAUUUGAAACUGUAGAGCUUGAGUGAAGUAGAGGCAGGCGGAAUUCCCCGUGUAGCGGUGAAAUGCGUAGAGAUGGGGAGGAACACCAGUGGCGAAGGCGGCCUGCUGGGCUUUAACUGACGCUGAGGCACGAAAGCGUGGGUAGCAAACAGGAUUAGAUACCCUGGUAGUCCACGCUGUAAACGAUGAUUACUAGGUGUGGGGGGUCUGACCCCUUCCGUGCCGGAGUUAACACAAUAAGUAAUCCACCUGGGGAGUACGGCCGCAAGGUUGAAACUCAAAGGAAUUGACGGGGGCCCGCACAAGCAGUGGAGUAUGUGGUUUAAUUCGAAGCAACGCGAAGAACCUUACCAGGUCUUGACAUCCAACUAACGAAGUAGAGAUACAUUAGGUGCCCUUCGGGGAAAGUUGAGACAGGUGGUGCAUGGUUGUCGUCAGCUCGUGUCGUGAGAUGUUGGGUUAAGUCCCGCAACGAGCGCAACCCUUGCUAUUAGUUGCUACGCAAGAGCGCUCUAAUAGGACUGCCGUUGACAAAACGGAGGAAGGUGGGGACGACGUCAAAUCAUCAUGCCCCUUAUGACCUGGGCUACACACGUACUACAAUGGAUGUUAACAGAGGGAAGCAAGACAGUGAUGUGGAGCAAACCCCUAAAAACAUUCUCAGUUCAGAUUGCAGGCUGCAACCCGCCUGCAUGAAGAUGGAAUUGCUAGUAAUCGCGGAUCAGAAUGCCGCGGUGAAUACGUUCCC